rnacentral:tRNA from 1 species
UCCCUGGAGGACUAGUGGUUAGGCCUCGGUGCUCUCACCGCCACAGCCCGGGUUCGAUUCCCCACCAGGGAA